rfam:Trichinella patagoniensis scaffold423s, whole genome shotgun sequence.
UGCCGGAUAGCUCAGUUGGUUAGAGUGUGGUGCUAAUAACGCUGAGCUUGUGGGUUCGACUCCCACUCUGGCCG